rnacentral:rRNA from 1 species
AUUUAAAGAAAGCGUAAUAGCUCACUGAUCGAGUCGUCCUGCGCGGAAGAUGUAACGGGGCUAAGCCAGUAACCGAAGCUGCGGAUCCACACGCAAGUGUGAGUGGUAGGAGAGCGUUCUGUAAGCCUGUGAAGGUGGGUCGUGAGGCCUGCUGGAGGUAUCAGAAGUGCGAAUGCUGACAUGAGUAGCGUUAAAGGGGGUGAAAAGCCCCCUCGCCGUAAGCGCAAGGUUUCCUACGCAACGUUCAUCGGCGUAGGGUGAGUCGGCCCCUAAGGCGAGGCAGAGAUGCGUAGCUGAUGGGAAACAGGUCAAUAUUCCUGUACCGAUGUGUAGUGCGAUGUGGGGACGGAGAUGGUUAACUCAGCCGGGUGUUGGAUGUCCCGGUUCAAGCCUGUAGUCGUGCCUGGUAGGCAAAUCCGCCGGGCUUAGAUGAGGGGUGAUAACGAGGCGGCUUGCCGCCGAAGUGAGCGAUACCCUGCUUCCAGGAAAAGCCACUAAGCUUCAGCUACACACGACCGUACCGCAAACCGACACUGGUGCGCGAGAUGAGUAUUCUAAGGCGCUUGAGAGAACUCUGGAGAAGGAACUCGGCAAAUUGACACCGUAACUUCGGAAGAAGGUGUGCCUUUAGUAGGUGAUCCAUUUACUUGGUGAGCCCAAUGAGGCCGCAGAGAAUCGGUGGCUGCAACUGUUUAAUAAAAACACAGCACUCUGCAAAGACGAAAGUCGACGUAUAGGGUGUGACGCCUGCCCGGUGCUGGAAGAUUAAAUGAUGGGGUGCAAGCUCUUGAUUGAAGUCCCAGUAAACGGCGGCCGUAACUAUAACGGUCCUAAGGUAGCGAAAUUCCUUGUCGGGUAAGUUCCGACCUGCACGAAUGGCGUAAUGAUGGCCACACUGUCUCCUCCAGAGACUCAGCGAAGUUGAAAUGUUUGUGAUGAUGCAAUCUCCCCGCGGAAAGACGGAAAGACCCCAUGAACCUUUACUGUAGCUUUACAUUGGACUUUGAACAGAUCUGUGUAGGAUAGGUGGGAGGCUUUGAAGCGGUGCCGCUAGGUGUCGUGGAGCCAACCUUGAAAUACCACCCUGGUGUGUUUGAGGUUCUAACCUUGGCCCGUUAUCCGGGUUGGGGACAGUGUAUGGUGGGCAGUUUGACUGGGGCGGUCUCCUCCCAAAGUGUAACGGAGGAGUUCGAAGGUACGCUAAAUACGGUCGGAAAUCGUGUUGAUAGUGCAUUGGCAUAAGCGUGCUUGACUGCGAGACUGACAAGUCGAGCAGGUACGAAAGUAGGACAAAGUGAUCCGGUGGUUCUGUAUGGAAGGGCCAUCGCUCAACGGAUAAAAGGUACUCUGGGGAUAACAGGCUGAUACCGCUC